UACGUAGGGGCCUAGCGUUGUCCGGAUUUAUUGGGCGUAAAGAGCUCGUAGGCGGUGUGUCACGUCGGCCGUGAAAACCUGGGGCUUAACUCUGGGCGUGCGGUCGAUACGGGCAUCACUAGAGUUCGGCAGGGGAGACUGGAAUUCCUGGUGUAGCGGUGAAAUGCGCAGAUAUCAGGAGGAACACCGGUGGCGAAGGCGGGUCUCUGGGCCGAUACUGACGCUGAGGAGCGAAAGCAUGGGGAGCGAACAGG
rnacentral:rRNA from 1 species